GUGGGAGAGAAGAAACGUAUAAUCACCCAAACAACCAUUUUUACCCAUUUUACCCCCUCUGGAUCUGUGUCGCAAGUCUGCCGAGAGCUUAUCUGUCUUUCACUGCGGAUACGGUGAAGGGAGGCCGGACCGUGAGGAAGACACCAAGAGUUUCAGAUGAUGUCCAGUACGCCACGGCUGCUCCAGCCAAUAAACAAGGUGACUAACAAUGGAAGAGGGCCAGGAAUGAAGAGAAGGGAGACAGGCUAACCACCACAGCACACGCAGAUAGAAACAGGGGUGGAAGAGGACAUUUUAUCUCCAGAAGUUACCUUUUUUUAAACGGCCAUGUUGAAAAAGUAUGCACCUUAGAAUGUGAUGAGAGCUGUUUUUGUUUGUAUUUAAUAAUGAUAUUUUUUCCAAUUGUCCUGGGAAUAUCAAAGGAAAAUGGGUAAUAACCCCCAUCAGACCUGUUUUUUAUUUGUGGAGUUAAAUUUAUAUAAAAUGUAUUAUAUCCAUUUAAACUAAGUUAUAUGAAAAAAUGAUGGGAAGUUAUGCUGUGUAACAUUUUCUUAUGCUUUUAAUUCCAAAUCGUGAUAUAAUUUAAGGAAAAAAAGCUGCUUUUUGUCUGUGAACAAUGGGGCAGAGUAUGAUGUAUUACUUGCCUGUUUCUCAGUCCCACAAUAUGCUUUCAUAGAGUUGCCAUCUUAGAAUUUAAAUAGUUAUUCCAGGACUGAAGGCAAGAACACUAUUUAACAUUUUUGUAUGUUCUUGCUACGGGUUCAUGUGUGCCUCCCUGAGCAAAAUUAAUUAUCACCUUUGCCCCAAAGAAAAUGCAAUUAAAAAGUAGAGGUAAUGGUUUUUUCUCCAAAAUGAAAUGUGACAAUAGUUUUUUCCCCAAUUCAUUGCCUUUUUUUGAUAAUGUGUGCAUCAGACAAAUUGUUGUAGUAUUCCAUAAAAUCUUAAUUUUUUGUUUGAUUUUUUUUUCUU